rnacentral:rRNA from 1 species
GACGAACGCUGGCGGCGUGCUUAACACAUGCAAGUCGAACGGAAAGGCCCUGCUUGCAGGGUACUCGAGUGGCGAACGGGUGAGUAACACGUGGGUGAUCUGCCCUGCACUUCGGGAUAAGCUUGGGAAACUGGGUCUAAUACCGGAUAGGAGCCAUCUUUAGUGUGGUGGUUGGAAAGUUUUUUCGGUGUAGGAUGAGCUCGCGGCCUAUCAGCUUGUUGGUGGGGUAAUGGCCUACCAAGGCGGCGACGGGUAGCCGGCCUGAGAGGGUGUACGGCCACAUUGGGACUGAGAUACGGCCCAGACUCCUACGGGAGGCAGCAGUGGGGAAUAUUGCACAAUGGGCGCAAGCCUGAUACAGCGACGCCGCGUGGGGGAUGAAGGCCUUCGGGUUGUAAACUCCUUUCGCUAGGGACGAAGCUUUGUUGUGACGGUACCUAGAUAAGAAGCACCGGCUAACUACGUG